AUGUCUGAUGCAAAAGCUAUCGAUGCCCAAUAUGGCAGUGAAAAGGGGCUCACCGCCCUUUCUGCUGCGCUGGCAGGCGGAAACCUUAUUUAUGAAAGUUCAG
rfam:SAR116 cluster alpha proteobacterium HIMB100 contig8, whole genome shotgun sequence.